AAAACUAAGGAGGCAGAUGCAGGAUUUACAUAGUAUAAGCUGCCAGCUACUUAAUAAAGGAUGGAGGCUCCACCUAGCCUUCAGUUCAAAACAUGCAAAACACAUUAAGCCAGCGCUUCCCCGCCGGAUUUCCCAGCUUCUUCCAGACUGGGAUCACCGGGAAGUCAUCCUCUCUAUUCACAGCCCUGUCAGCUUGCCGAGAGCUGCGAGGGUAAAUACACACAGCGUAAGCUCUAAUAUGGAAGCCGCAGGACUUAGUUCCCACACUCCAGCCCUGCAAGCGUUUGCACCUCUGCCUGCAACACCUUUCUGAGCGCACCCAGCCACUGCCAAAAUAAAAAGGCUCCCUGAAAAGCCACAUCUCUGCUUUCGCCGGGCAAUUAUCACGGCUCCCGCACACCAACUACGCCCCACACGACCAACAGGUUUAGCAUCAGGGCCACAAAAGUGUCAAGUCCUAAACCCUGACUUGUUAAUCAAAUUCCUCUCGCCGGUGCACAGUGGAAGUCGUCGGAGCGUCCCGGGAAACCCGACCUGCCCGCGCUCAGCAUGCCUAGUUAUUUCAGGGAAUUCAGGAUCUAUCCCACACCCCACACACAGACAUCGCGGUACUUACAUUUAUUCGUCUUUAUCAGAGGAAAAAUUGACCUCACAUCAAUUGAGCUGAGGGCGAGCUGAGCCUUCGAUGGCAAACAAAGAUCCCCAGGCCAAGGCCCCCUCGGAGCAGAGAAAGCUCUUCCAUGUCUCCAUGAAACUCGCGUCUUUCCCCUCGCCAUCCCUAUUUAAAAGUGCCGCUUAGCUCCACGGUGUCAUUCUUGUCCGAACGGCGCUGAGUCGGAAAUCUUCCAUCCAGAAACAAACAAAACAAAACAGGGAGAGAAACGCAGAAGCUGACUUCGGUUUGGCUUUUUUUCUUCCUUUCUUUUUUCCCCUCUUUUCCUCCUUUUCUUUCCAUAUGGCUUCCUGCGCCCCGGAGUAGAAAGUGAAGUGUUCUAUGCGAGGAUCUGCAAGUUUUUUGGGGGGGUUGGCCAAGGUCUAGUCCAGCCCUCCCUGCUGAGGAGGACGUGCUCAGAAAUUCAACCAAUUUCCCCAACGCUUUUGUUGCUGAUGGACUGAAGCCCUAUUGUUCAUCCAUUGCCACGGUCUUUUUCAGCUCCUGCUAUACGUUGUGCGUUGCCAGAGAUAAUGAAUUUGCACCAAAACCUCUCAUAGUCCCAUUCUGACAGACGGAACAAAUUAGAAAUGUCUAGUCUAAAGAAGAGCAAUGGCUACCUUUUCCUAGAGAAGAAAAGAAGGAAAGCGCGCAUUUGUUUGGAAACUUACUAUUUUUCUUUCUUUUUUUUUUUUUUUCCCCAGCAAAAGAUCGAGAUUUAUAAGCUGUUUUUCCUCCAGCUAACUUCUGCAGUACAGUUUCUUCCGAGUCUUGUUUUGGAGAGGCACUACCAUUUUGUGAAACUUUGGUCUGACAGCCAACAGCAGGGAGGGAAAAUAGAAGGAAAGGAAAAAAAAGAAAAAAAAAAAAGGAAAAAUUGAUGGCGCUGACAAAAAAGAUUCUUUUCCAAUCCCUGCCGUCAUGCUAACUUGUAGCAUGACCUCUCGUCGCUGGAAGGAAGGUGCCGAUUCCUGCCGGGUUCGGAAACAUCGUGAAAACGCCCCUCAAAGCCUCGCCAGCUGUGUGUCCCGGCCGCAGCGCUGCUGCAGGCAGCGGGCGCGGAUUUCCGCGGGGAUAGCGCAGACAUCCUGCCGCAUUCCCCCUCCUCCCCGCAUCUCCCGGGCAUCAGCGCCCGGAUCCCUGUGGACAAAGAGAAGCUCUGCCAAGAGCCGAACGCAAGCCCGGGGGGAAAGCAGCGAAUCCAGCACGAGCGCUCGGAUGCACUAGAAAUAAAUAAUAAUAAAAAAUAAUGCAGAGGGGAUUUAUGGAAGUGUACACUUCUCCCGCGGCCGGAAGUACAGCCGCGUUUCUACUCCCUGGAUAUUUAGGGUGGGAUGAGAUGCUGGCGUGGAGGAGAGUGCAGCGGCUCGCUGGCAGCUGGUUUGUGCCCAUAUCCAGAGGGAUGCUUUGGAAAAUCUCACGGCAGGCUAAGAAAUACACAAAAUAACGCCAGGAGGAAAGGAGAGAGGCUAAUGAGGAACCGCUGUGUGAAGUUCCUUCCUCUGCCGCUAAAAGUUCUCCCAACGCCCGUGGCACACUGCCACAGGGAGAAGGGAGAGAGGAGGAGGAGCAGGAGCAGGAAUCGUCCUCACCCAGGCUCUGCAGCCACCGGACACCCGGUCCCCGCUCAUACUGCUGCUGCUCCUCAUGGAGCGGGCUACUGCCCUCUCUCUGUGACUUGCGGAUCAGAGACGGGGGCUGCAGCACCCCUCUCUUCCCGCCUGCCUUCCCUUACCCCGGCCGAGCACGGAGCCCCGGUACCCGGAGGAGCACCCGGGGUCCGCGCCGGGAGGCGCUUCACUUCAAGUGGCUCAACACGCCUGUGCCAUGCAGUACUUUGGGGAUGGAGGAAGGUUUUGGAUUGGGUUUUUUUUUGUGUUUUUGCUUGUUUGUUGCUUGGGUUGUUUAUUUUUUUUCUUGUGUGCUUGUUUUAUAUUAUUUUACUUACUAUUUUAUUUACGGAUUUAUUUUAUUUAAAUUAUUUUUAUUUUAUUAUUUUUUUAUUUUGUUUUUAUUUUUUAUUUUUGUAUUUUAUUGUUUCUGCCUUUUUUUUUUUUUUUUGCUUUUCUCCUGCUUUCUUUCCCUUUUUUUUUUCUAAUUGCCAGAGUUUUCUCUUUCCGCUCGUCUCCUGAUGACGAGAAGCCGCGAAUAACGUACCGUUACAAUAAAGUAAAGAAAUAAAUACGUUAAAAAAAAGAAAAAGAAGAAGAAGAAGGAGGCAGGACGAGCUCGGCGGUGCUGUGGGGAGGUUUAUCGGCGGGGUCACGUCCAUUGACGUCAUCUCGAGGCAUCGCUGUACAUCCUGAUACAUUCACAUACAUCGGGGGAAUCAGGGCAUUAAAACAACAAAAUAAAAGGAACAUGGAACACGUAAAUCCCGCUGCUCGGAGAAGAGACCGCGGAUCCCCGGAGGGACCGCCCCCACU